GCAAGAUUAAAACUCAAAGGAAUUGACGGGGGCCCGCACAAGCGGUGGAGUAUGUGGUUUAAUUCGAUGCAACGCGAAGAACCUUACCUGGUCUUGACAUCUCAAGGAUCUCCUGGAAACAGGAGAGUGCUUUCUUUCGAGAGAACUUGAAGACAGGUGCUGCAUGGCUGUCGUCAGCUCGUGUCGUGAGGUGUUGGGUUAAGUCCCGCAACGAGCGCAACCCUCGCCAUUAGUUGCCAUCAUUUAGUUGGGCACUCUAAUGGGACUGCCGGUGUCAAACCGGAGGAAGGUGGGGAUGACGUCAAGUCCUCAUGGCCUUUAUGACCAGGGCUACACACGUACUACAAUGGCCGAUACAAAGGGCAGCCACAGUGCGAACUGGAGCAAAUCCCUUAAAGUCGGUCUCAGUCCGGAUCGGAGUCUGCAACUCGACUCCGUGAAGUUGGAAUCGCUAGUAAUCGUGGAUCAGCAUGCCACGGUGAAUACGUUCCCGGGCCUUGUACACACCGCCCGUCACACCACGGAAGUUGGUUGUACCAGAAGUAGUUGAGCGAACCUUCGGGGCGCAGACUACCAAGGUAUGGCUGGUAACUGGGGUGAAGUCGUAACAAGGUA
rnacentral:rRNA from 1 species